UUUUAAUGGUUGAUAUGGUUUUGUGAUCCAGGAAAAAAGUAGAUAGAGAGAGAGAGAGAGAGAGCUGAUACUUGGAAGGCAAGGAUUAAGAGACAACGGGAAAGAGAAAGGGAGAAGAGAGGGAGGAGGAAGGGAAGCUACGCUCCAGAAAAAGCUUAGGAAAGAGAGAAAAAAGCUCAAAUCCUACUCAUCAUUCAACUGCUUAUACUUGCUCCCCCCAGUUUCAUCUUUUUGUUUUUGGUUAACCCAUAUCAGAUCUCACAUUUGGCAAUUCCAUUCUCACAAUUCACAGCACAACCCAACGAAAUCUCCUGUAACCUUGGUCUAGACAAUCUCAAUUUCUACUGUUCUCUCAAUCCUCAGUGUUUCAUUUGAACCCAAAAAGCUUUCUUUUGGCAGUAGAUCUUGAAAACCUGGUCUGGAAAUAUGGAUCAUCCUAGCCCACAAUCCACAGAAGGCGAUGGAAGCGUACGGGUGCCGAUUGAUAGUAAAUUGAGCAAUAAUUGGAGUUCCAGUACUGGAACCGACACCAUAUUUGAACCUCAGAGAGUAGAUGGUGAUCCAUUGGAAAAGAGAGACAGCAGUAAUGCAGACUCUGGUUCUCCAUCGAAACCAACUGUCAAUGCACCAGAGAAGAAGCUGACUCUAUUUGCUCUUCAAGUUGCGGUUCUCGAGAAAUUGGCCACUCGGUUAGGAACCAUGGGAUUCAUCUGGGCAACCGUUGUUCUUCUCGGUGGUUACGCCAUUAAACUUAGCAGAAUCGACUUCUGGAUCAUCACCAUCAUACUCUUAAUUGAAGGCGCCAGAAUCUUCAGCCGCAGUCAUGAGCUUGAAUGGCAACAUCAAUCUACCUGGACGAUUGCAGAUGCCAGAAUCCAUAGCUUCCGAGCAAUGAAAUCGAGCCCCCAUUUAAUUGUUCAAGCCAUUAAAGGAAUUCGUGAGUCAAUUUCUACACGCCAAAGCCGAGAUCUCAAAGAGAAGACCAGUGAUGAAAGACCGAGCAAUCGAUCAACUCGUACAUGGAUAUCAUCAGAAGUUCCCCUGCUUCCAUAUUCAAGUUGGUUUUUUCUAUCUAGGAACAUCAGUAAGUUAUUCUAUUGGUUCCAGUUGUUAUCAUCUUUAGCUUGUAUAGCGCUUUCCGUUCUGAGGCUCGUCCAGUUGAAUCAUGCUAAUUCAAUUGAACCAAGCCCAGAUAAUAGGAACCAUAAAUCUGCCUUGAUUGUCUUCUAUGGGUUGGCCUUGGCGGAGUCUUUCAUUUCUCUGCUAGAAAAAGCCUACUGGGAAUGGACGAUUAUGUAUCGGAAACUGCUGGAAGAGGUGAACAAGGACUGCGAGUUAGGAAGCUCUGGCAUGAUUUCCAUCAAGAGAUUCUUCUAUGAUGCGUAUUCGAACUGUAUUAAUGGAAGCAUCUUUGAUGGCUUAAAGCUGGAUUUGGUUUCUUUUGCUACAGAGCUCUUGGCCUCUGGUUCCAGCGAUGAGCAGCUCAUUGGGGCUCGAAUUCUUCAGAAAUUCUCAACCAAUUCCCAAUUCUCUGAUGAUACACUCCAGAAGAUUGGUACAUCUAUAUCGGUUAUUGAAAGACUGGUGGAGAUGUUGUAUUGGAAGAACCCACAAGAAGCAGAGAUCAGGCAAGCAGCUGCAGUGAUUGUAUCCAAACUAGCUGGGAAAAAGCAGAACUCCCUUCGAGUUGCAGGGAUUUCUGGUGCAAUGGAAUCUAUAUCAUCUUUGCUCUACACUCAACGUGGCUCCGAUGGUGCAUCUGACGAAAUCGUGGAGAAAAAGAUUGUUUACGAUCGAGAAAAUUAUGAGUUUUCCGCCUUCAACCAAUUGGGUCUCACCAUUCUCAAGAAACUUGCACGCGACCACGAUAAUUGUGAGAAGAUCGGUAACACGAGAGGCCUCCUGCCUAAAAUUAUUGAUUUCACACAUACUGGAGAGAGUUUGCUCAGGAAUAGCCAUGACAGAGACAGUCGGAUGUUGGCAGUUAAACGAUCCCUGCAAGCACUUAAGUUGCUCGCAAGAACAUCUGGUACCGCGGGCAAGCAUCUGAGGCAAGAGAUUGUGGAGAUUGUUUUCACAGUGAGCAACAUCAGAGAAAUUCUCAAGCAUGGUGAGAAGUAUCCAAUGCUUCAAAUCCUAGGAAUUGAAAUUUUAACUAGUUUGGCCUUCGAAGAGGAGGCAAGAGAGAAGAUUGGAAACACAGGUGGAAUUAUCAAAGAACUAUUGCGAAUUUUCUUCCUAGAGCAAAAUUCUGAAGAUCAGAAUCAUGUGAGGGUUGCAGCAGGGGAGGCAAUUACAAUGCUGGCACUGGAGAGCAAUACGAACUGCUCUAGGAUUUUGAAUCAGGAGGUACUAACAAAGCUCGUGGGGGCACUCAAAGAUCCAUUGCUUCGCAUCAAUUCAGCCAGAAUUUUAAGGAAUUUAUACAACUAUGCUGGCCACGAUUGCUUUGUACAAUUAAAUGGAGUCUCAGCUGCUGCACCCAUAGUGCUGAAGGCAAUAAUGUCAGAAGAGUACAAAGUACAAGAAGUAAUGCUCGGGCUCGCAAUACAGGUAUUCAGAUUCACGACUCCUCAAGAAACAAGUAGUGCGUUUAAUCAGACUGGAAUUGACGAGGGCGUAUUAGCAAUGAAACUCCUGAAAAUUUUGAAAUUUUACCAAAACCCAUCGGCCAAAGUUCCUAGAAUGAGGAGGUUUGUGAUUGAGCUGGCAAUUUGGAUGAUGACAAACAAUAAAGAAACGGUUCAAACUUUCAAGGUUCUUGGAAUGGAGGAGGAGCUUGAGAUUCUGAGAGAGACCACAUCAGAGAUUGAAAGCUUCAACAUUUUCUCUGGAAGCGUUGGACUAUGCCGGCACGACAUAGCAAUUCACUCGUUAGUUGACAAUGCACUUGAGUUGCUGGCAGAGGGAUGAGAUUUGGAAUUAUUUUUCUCACUCUGCAAAUCCAACAAUUCGUCUGCCAUAUAUAAGUCCUGAGAGAAGUAAGCAAAAGCCAUCCAUAGGGAGAGGAAGAAUCUCUACUGGAAGAACUACUUCCAUGCAUGUGAGAGCCUUCCUACCUUAAUUCUGGAGAAGAGGCAGGGGAAGACUGUGAUCCUGCUACUCAAGAAUUUGGGCUUUUUGGAUGGGAUUGCUGGAACUAGUCUUGCUAUUAUCUUCUCAAUCAUCUGUAAGGUCUCAGGUGGGAGGUUUUCCUUCUUCUAUGCAUCAAAGCUCUUGAAUACUGGAGUUGAAUGAGGGCUACUUUGGCUCAUAUGGGCAAUGAAUAGACUCAGAGACAAUCAUCUACAACAGCAGGAUUCGGGCAAGUUGGCUCAAAAGAGGAUGAGAUGAUGGGGAAAGUGAACACAAGUAUGAAUGAAAUUUUAUUUAGGAAGGCAGCUAUUAUGGCAGUGACAGUACUUAGAUUUCCAUGACUAAGAAGGCACGUGAAUGAUAGGGAAAGGCUAACUCAGUCCAGUCAUAUGGUGGGGAAUCUUGAGAUGGGGCUAGCUGACCAAGCUCAAUGUUGUGCCACAGUGAACAGACAGACACAAUCAUCUAUGUCAGCAAGAAUUCAAUCAAGUUGGGUGAAAAGAGGAUGAGAUGAUGAGGAGAGUGGUGUUUGAGAUUUUAAAAUGUAACCACAGGCGUACGGAUCAGUGUAGCUACGGGUCGAAAACAGGGAGAGAAGCCACUUUAUUUUUUU